CAGGGCAGAAAAAUAUCACAGAGGGAAUUAUGCCACACUGACCCCCAGAAAGGGGAAUUAUUUACCUGGAGAAGGCAAAACUCCUGAGAGGGAAUCAGAGAAUUUGUCGGUGCAAAAGUCCAGAAGGACCUCUCAGCAUAGGGAACAGAGUCUGUCCAAAGCUAUCCAAGAAAUGGUUUGGCACCUGGGAAGCACCAGAAGCCUCCUACCACUCCCGGAUGUCCAGAGGCGAGCAGGUCAAGCAGCAAAACUGUGCAAGCUGCUCUCUUGCGGGUGGUGCUCUCUUGUGUUGCUCGAAGACAAAUGUCACUGUCUUUUAAUGAGCUGGUCUCAAGCAUAAAUAAGACAAUAAAAG
rnacentral:lncRNA from 1 species